GUCGGCGCAGCAGUACCUGCGCACGCGCGGCGGCUUCAGAAGUCAUACAGCUGGCGGACGAGUACGCGGCCGAGUUCCUCAUGCACCUGGACGAGUUCACGGCGCGCGUGGAGGGCGGCUUCCGACGCCGGCUGGGCCGCUGCGGCCCGCUCAGCACGGCCUACAACGCCACGUCCGUCACCCUCUGCAGCAACGUCGUCUACCCGUUCAACGGCUACUGGGCGUCCCUGGGCUGGUGCGUGCUGCUCUUCAUCCCCUGCGUGAUGGUCAGCCUCUGCCUGACUUCGCUCUA